UCCAUUUUUACAGGAAUGUCCCUGAGCCAC
rnacentral:piRNA from 1 species